rnacentral:rRNA from 1 species
UACGUAGGGUGCAAGCGUUAAUCGGAAUUACUGGGCGUAAAGCGUGCGCAGGCGGUUGUGCAAGACCGAUGUGAAAUCCCCGGGCUUAACCUGGGAAUGGCAUUGGUGACUGCACGGCUAGAGUGUGUCAGAGGGGGGUAGAAUUCCACGUGUAGCAGUGAAAUGCGUAGAUAUAGGAAGGAAUACCAGUGGCGAAGGCGGCCUCCUGGAUCAACACUGACGCUGAGGUGCGAAAGCGUGGGGAGCAAACAGG